UCUUAUUGCGUGGCUGGUGGCCUAGUGGUUAGAGCGUUGGACUAGUAACUGGAAGGUUGCAAGAUUGAAUCCCACAGCUGACAAGGACUUUUGAGUUCCUGCUUACAACGACACCAUCUUGGCCCCUGCUCACAAUGACGCCAUCUUGGCCUCUGCUGACAAUGAUGCCAUCUUGGCCUCUGCUGACAACGACGCCAUCUUGGCCACUGCUUACAACGACGUUAUCUUGGCUCCUGCUUACAACGACACCAUCUUGGCCUCGGGAAAUCUUGCCGCAGACGGGACGAGAGAGCAGGACAAUGCUUCAUGCCACACAGCCAGGUCAAUCAAGGUGUGGAUGGAGGACCACCAGAUCAAGACCCUGUCAUGGCCAGCCCAAUCUCCAGACCUGAACCCCACUGAAAACCUCUAGAAUGUGAUCAAGAGGAAGACGGAUGGUCACAAGCCAUCAAACAAAGCCGAGCUGCUUGAAUUUUUGCGCCAGGAGUGGCAUUAAGUCACCCAACAUCAAUGUGGAAGACUGGUGGAGAACAUGCCAAGACACAGGAAAGCUCUGAUUGAAAAUCAGGGUUAUUCCACCAAUUAUUGAUUUCUGAACUCUUCCUAAGUUAAUAAAACAUUUGUAUUGUGUUGUUUAAAAAUAAAUAUUAACUUAUUUUCUUAGCAUUAUUUGAGGUCUGACAACACUGCAUCUUUUUUGUUAUUUUGACGAGUUGUCAUUUUCUGCAAAUAAAUGCUCCAAAUUACAAUAUUUUGGGGGGAAUUUGGGAGAAAUGUUGUCAGUAGUUUAUAUAAUAAAACAAAAAUAUAAUUUGACCCAUAAAUACCUAUAAAUAGUAAAACCAGAGAAACUGACAAUUUUGCAGUAGUCUCUUAAUUUUUUCCAGAGUGGUAUAUACAUAUAUAUACAUUCUGCUUUUUGGUAAAGGAAUAUAAUUCAGCAAAAUGUGCUUCAUUUAGGAAAUCUGUUCCCAAGUAUUCCCACUAAUAAAAAAGAGACAUAUGUGAUCGUGUCUCAAUGUAAUCAA